UCAGGUGGCUGGAUGGUCGCUGUCGGCUCGCCGGCAGAGGAAAGUCCGGGCUCCAUGGAAAUACGGUGCCGGGUAACGCCCGGCGAGGGAAACCUUAGGGAAAGUGCCACAGAAAAUAUACCGCCAUUUUAUUUGGUAAGGUUGAAAAGGUGAGGUAAGAGCUCACCGUACUUUUUGGUAACAAUAAGUAGCUAGGCAAACCCCACUUGGAGCAAGGCCAAAUAGAGAUUCAAUGAAGCUAUCCGCUUAGAAUCUGGGUAGGCCGCUAGAAGUUUAUGGCGACAUAAGCUCAAGAUGAAUGAUUACUACAAACAGAACCCGGCUUAUGAGUCAGCUCAUCUG
rnacentral:RNase_P_RNA from 1 species